CGGACGGGUGAGUAAUGUCUGGGAAACUGCCUGAUGAGGGGGAUAACUACUGGAAACGGUAGCUAAUACCGCAUAACGUCGCAAGACCAAAGAGGGGGACCUUAGGGCCUCUUGCCAUCGGAUGUGCCCAGAUGGGAUUAGCUAGUAGGUGGGGUAACGGCUCACCUAGGCGACGAUCCCUAGCUGGUCUGAGAGGAUGACCAGCCACACUGGAACUGAGACACGGUCCAG
rnacentral:rRNA from 1 species